rnacentral:rRNA from 1 species
UACGAAGGGGGCUAGCGUUGUUCGGAAUUACUGGGCGUAAAGCGCGCGCAGGUGGUCUUUCAAGUCAGUGGUGAAAGCCCGGAGCUCAACUCCGGAACUGCCAUUGAAACUGUGAGACUUGAGGACGAGAGAGGUGAGUGGAAUUCCCAGUGUAGAGGUGAAAUUCGUAGAUAUUGGGAAGAACACCGGUGGCGAAGGCGGCUCACUGGCCCGGUACUGACGCUGAGGUGCGAAAGCGUGGGGAGCAAACAGG